GCAUGGAUAGCUCAGUCGGUUAGAGUGUGGUUCUAAUAAUGCCAAGGUUGCAGGUUUGAUCCCCAUAAGGGGCAGCUGCA